rnacentral:rRNA from 1 species
UACGGAAGGCAGCAGUGGGGAAUAUUGCACAAUGGGCGAAAGCCUGAUGCAGCUAUGCCGCGUGUAUGAAGAAGGCCUUAGGGUUGUAAAGUACUUUCAUCGGGGAGGAAAAACAAAACUAAUAAUUUUAUUUCUUGACGUUACCCGAAAAAGAAGCACCGGCUAACUCCGUGCCAGCAGCCGCGGUAAUACGGAGGGUGCUAGCGUUAAUCAGAAUUACUAGGCGUAAAGAGCACGUAGGUGGUUUUUUUAAGUCAGAUGUGAAAUCCCUGGGCUUAACCUGGAACUGCAUUUUGAAACUGAAAUACUAGAGUAUCGUAGAGGGAGGUAGAAUUCUAGGUGUAGCGGUGAAAUGCGUAGAUAUCUGGAGGAAUACCUGUGGCGAAAGCGGCCUCCUAAACGAAUACUGACACUGAGGUGCGAAAGCGUGGGGAGCAAACAGGGAUUAGAUACC